CCACACUGGGACUGAGACACGGCCCAGACUCCUACGGGAGGCAGCAGUGGGGAAUUUUGGACAAUGGGGGAAACCCUGAUCCAGCAAUGCCGCGUGCAGGAUGAAGGCCUUCGGGUUGUAAACUGCUUUUGUACGGAACGAAAAGGUCUUUUCUAAUAAAGAGGGCCCAUGACGGUACCGUAAGAAUAAGCACCGGCUAACUACGUGCCAGCAGCCGCGGUAAUACGUAGGGUGCAAGCGUUAAUCGGAAUUACUGGGCGUAAAGCGUGCGCAGGCGGUUAUAUAAGACAGAUGUGAAAUCCCCGGGCUCAACCUGGGAACUGCAUUAGUGACUGUAUAGCUAGAGUGCGGCAGAGGGGGAUGGAAUUCCGCGUGUAGCAGUGAAAUGCGUAGAUAUGCGGAGGAACACCGAUGGCGAAGGCAAUCCCCUGGGCC
rnacentral:rRNA from 1 species